rnacentral:rRNA from 1 species
UGGGGAAUAUUGGACAAUGGAGGAAACUCUGAUCCAGCAAUUCUGUGUGUGUGAAGAAGGUUUUAGGACUGUAAAACACUUUUAGUAGGGAAGAAAAAAAUGACGGUACCUACAGAAGAAGCAACGGCUAAAUACGUGCCAGCAGCCGCGGUAAUACGGAGGAUGCGAGCGUUAUCCGGAAUUAUUGGGUUUAAAGGGUGCGUAGGUUGCAAGGGAAGUCAGGGGUGAAAAGCUAUAGCUCAACUAUGGUCUUGCCUUUGAAACUCUCUAGCUAGAGUGUACUGGAGGUACGUGGAACGUGUGGUGUAGCGGUGAAAUGCAUAGAUAUCACACAGAACUCCGAUUGCGCAGGCAGCGUACUACAUUACAACUGACACUGAAGCACGAAAGCGUGGGUAUCAAACAGG